CUUAUGGUUGCUCUCUACAUGUAUGUGUGGUGUUUUGAGGGGGGAGUGUAUUCUCGUAUUGUGUAACCAAAUUGUUGUGAUCUGUUGCUACUUGAUUUUUUGGAAUUCAUUUAAAUGCUUGGUUCACUGAAUAAAUUGCAGGUUCUUACAAAUGGCAUAGAGGUGAAACUACAAAGGAAUGCUUUAGGUAAUAAUGAGGAUGAUGAUGACCUUGAAUUUGAAAAUGUUCACUGGAAUGGUUCAAAUAUGGGUAAGUUACCUAAUUUAUGAUUAACCUCAUUUUUUUUGGGUUUGGCUUGCUAUAUAGUAAUAAUUUUGGUUAUUUUGAGUUUCCAAUUCACGAAAUUUGAAAUUUGACUUAAUUCUAUUUCAAAUUAAACUCAAAUGAUCAACUGCUUUCCAUUUUCUUAGAGUCUUCUUAGGUUGAUGGUUUACUUAUAGUGUUAGAUGCAUCGAACAGGCCGUUGGCAAGAUGGUGCUGCUGCAGUAUGUGUUUGGUGCCUAUAUUUGCACACCUAUAGAAGUACAAGCAGUUUGUUAACUAUUCCAUCUAGGUGAGGUAUCAAUGUUUCUGGCUUGCCCGGCACACAGAAGAAGCAGAGAGUUACUAGUUUGGUCAAUCAUUGCUAUUAUUUAUUUGUUUGGUUUCAAUUAGUUUAUGUGUUGAUGUUGUUUUGGUUUAAGUACUUCGAGAAACAUUUAUUUAUUUUAGAGAAAAUACAUAAAGAUCCCAUUCAACUUGUCAUAAAAAAUCAUUUGCACACCUAAACUUUGUGGGUGUCCUAACACCCCACUAUUGUUAAAAUAAUUGUAUUUAUUUAAUCCCUUCUAAGCCUUGGUUAGGCGCGCGUCUUAGACUACGCAAUUGAGCGCGUCUUUACUCUAUUUUAAUCGUUAAAAACCCCCCAAAAAAGAAAAAAAUUAAAUUUUUAACUUCAAUAUAACCCCCCAACCAACAGUAAUCCAUUCUUCUCCAAUAUUUUACCAAAUCCAAUUGAAGAACCCUAAUUUCUUCUUCAUCUAAAAUCUGCCGAAAUUGCAUCAAAUUGCUCUUUGAAGUUUUGAUCUUUGAAAGCAAAGGUUAAUCUUUCUCCUUCAAACAUAAUAAUUUUUCACAGAUAAUUCAACUUCAAUGUUUAAGCUUGAUUCUUCAAAGAACUUCGGCUUCGAACAGGUCUUCCUCCAACUCGUCAGGAAUUCUAAAUAAUGAAAUCGAAGGAUUUUGCAACUGGUCACUUCAAUUUUGUUCGGGUAAGUCAAUUUUGGCGAGGCAAGAAGAAUUUUCAAUGGUUGGGCAUUAAGGUUCUUCAAUUUGGGAAUUUUUAACUGAUGGGUGAAUAAGGCUCGUUUAGAGACUUUUAUUUUUAUUUACUAGACAUUUUGAAUUGAGAAAAAAAUCAAAGUUUGACCAGAAUCAACAUAAAAAGAGCUGGGUUUUCAUGAAAUAUUUGUGAAGAGAAAAGUGACCAUAGAAAAAUUUUGAUUCUUUGGAAGAACAGAGGAGGUCUAAGUGAUCUGUAUAUUCCAUCACGCUCAUAACCAGAUUUUUCCAUUGAAUUGAACACUGUUUUUUUCUUGGUUUUUAUGUAAUUCUUUUUUCUGAAUUUUCAGUAGGGAAUGAAUUGGUAUUUGGAAUUCUUGAAUUGAGGAGAAAAGAUAGGAAGAUGACAAGGAAAUAUAUAAUGUGCUAUGAAAAUUAGAUAGAGGAAAGAUAGUUUGUUGAGUGCAGCCCAUGUUAAUUACGUGACUUACUAAUGAAGAGUGUGUUUCCCACUCAAAUUAAUAUAGCUGGGCCUUAGGAGGGA
rnacentral:lncRNA from 1 species